GAUCGCUAGCUACUUUGUUGAGCACACUCUAGAACACGCUCGCAGAAAAGCUCUAAUUGCUGUGCUCUUUCAGACUUUUAAUGGUAACAAGACUUGCUUGGAAUUUCAAAGGGUAGCAACAUUGCCCUCCAACUCUCUGAUCAGUCUGUUAUUUUGCUUGUCAAUCAAGGGUGAAGUGAUUUGCUGAUAGCAACAGCUGAAAUAGAGAGAAUUAGUCAAAGCAGAUAACUGUCAAAAAAGGCAACAGGAUCUGAGUUUCUGAAAGCAGGAAUAGUUUGUGGCAGUAUGGGUGAGUUAUAUAAUGUGUUAAGAAGUGAACUGAGGUGGAUAACAUUGUAAGCUCCCAAUCUUGGAUAUUUAAUUUGUUUGUGUGUCUGUUUUGUUUUGAGUGGGUUAAUUGCUCCAACAUGAACCCUAUACACCCUGAUAUUAGUCUCUGUUUUCUCCAUACUGUUCUCUAUACAUUCUCUAAGGUGAAGACCAAGAGAGUUUGUUGAAUGAUCAAGAGCCUCUUUAGCUGGUAAUCAUUUCCUUUAUCCUUGUGACCUUAAUGAGUGAUUUGGGAGUGAUAUUAUGUGGAGAAAUUAGAUGCUAGUCACUCUUUGGGGCCAUAGGGUUAAGUUCUAUCCAAAAGAGUAACAACUGUUUAGUUUUCUUAAUCAUAAAUAACUUCCAGUAAUGUACCAAUCAUAAUAUCAUUGACACUAUUUUGUUUUCUCAGACAUGAUAAAAUAAUUGCAAUUCUUUAUUAAUACCUUGAUUCUAUUGAUGAUGUUAUUGUUUUAUCAAACAAAAUAAAUGUUAAUAUCUUGCUCCAAUGAUUUACGGGAAGAAGACAGCAUGGAGUGAUUAUCUUAGUGACAGGAAAAAACUGAGUUAAUUUAAUUGGCUGAUCAAAUAAACCUGACCAGCAUGGUCUGACUAAAUUUGUGGCUGUACCCAGGACAGCCAAAGGUCACCAAAAGCUACUUGUAAGACCUGACAUGUAGGACCUAAGAGCACUUCUUUCAGUAUCUUUUGCAUUCAUCUUUCAGUUUGCAAAUUUUUAGUCUCAAAUUUUAUUAUUAACAAGUAGAUGAAUUGACUUGCAUUCA